CAGUUUUCUUUUGUGAAAACACAUUAUCAAUAGGCUGCAGAAAAGUACGCUAAAGAGAUUGAAGCGUUGAAGGAACAAACGAGGAGUAUGCUAUUAGCAACUGGAAGGAAGACGGCUGAUACGUUGAAUUUGAUUGACAUUAUUGAACGUCUUGGCAUAUCAUAUCACUUUGAGAAAGAAAUUGAUGAGAUUAGCUGAUACGUUGAAUGUGAUUGAUAUUAUUGAACGCCUUGGCAUAGCCUACCAUUUUGAGAAAGAAAUUGAUGAGAUUUUAGAGCAAAUUUACAACCAAACCUCAAACUGCAAUGAUUUGAGCACCUCUGCACUUCAAUUUCGAUUGCUCAGGCAACAUGGUUUCAACAUCUCUCCUGGUAACUUCAUCAUGAACCACACCUUUAAUAUUGUUGUUAAAAUUAUUACCAAUUUCUAGGAAAUAAAAAUUAAUCUUGAGUUUUCAUUAUUGAAAUACCUGAAAUUUUCAGCAAAUUCCAAGAUGAAAAUGGCAAAUUCAAAGAGUCUCUUGCUAGUGAUGCCUUAGGAUUAUUGAACUUGUAUGAAGCUUCACAUGUGAGGACUCAUGCUGACG
rnacentral:lncRNA from 1 species